rfam:Triticum aestivum genome assembly, contig: Triticum_aestivum_CS42_TGACv1_scaffold_396093_5AS
UGUGUACUUCCUCCGUUCCAAAAUACUUGACUUCCAUUUGUCCAAAAAUGGAUGUACCUAUAUACUAAGACAUGUCUAGAUACAUAUAUAUUUUGACAAAUAGAAGGCAUGUAUUGUGCAAUGGAGGGAGUAGAAU